AACCUGAAGCAUCUGUAACCCGAGGUACCACUGUAACUGUGUGUGUGUGUGUACACACAUACACCAACACAUAAAUACAGUGGUACCUCGGGUUACAUACGCUUCAGGUU